CUCCGGACUCUCGUAGCUCGGCCUCCCAUACUGUGGCUUCCUGGGGGACCCUUCCCCACCAUAACCAUACCCGCCACCUUGUUCCUCUCCGAAGCUAGGUUUCCGACCGUACCCAGAUCCAUAUUCAGAACUCGGUGCUUCGUACUCAGGCCUCCGACCAUACCCAGAUCCAUACUCCGAACUGGGCUGCUCGAACUCGGGCCUCCGACCAUACCCAGAUCCAUACUCCGAACUAGGUUGCUCGUAUUCAGGCUUCCGACCGUACCCAGAUCCAUAUUCCGUGCUAGGCUGUUCGUAUUCAGGCUUCCGACCGUACCCAGAUCCAUAUUCCGAGCUAGGCUGUUCGUAUUCAGGCUUCCGACCGUACCCAGAUCCAUAUUCCGAGCUAGGCUGUUCGUAUUCAGGCUUCCGACCGUAGCCAGAUCCAUAUUCCGAGCUAGGCUGUUCGCAUUCAGGCUUCCGACCGUACCCGGAUCCGUACUCCGAACUGGGUUCCUCGUAAUCAGGCUUCCGCCCAUGCCCAGAUCCAUACUCACCCUCCCCACCAAAACUCGAC
rnacentral:lncRNA from 1 species